rnacentral:rRNA from 1 species
GACGAACGCUGGCGGCGUGCUUAACACAUGCCAGUCGAACGGAAAGGCCCCUUUGGGGGUACUCGAGUGGCGCACGGGUGAGUAACACGUGAGUAACCUGCCCUUGACUUCGGGAUAACUUCAGGAAACUGGGGCUAAUACCGGAUAGGAAUCCUUGCUGCAUGGUGGGGGUUGGAAAGCUUCGGCGGUUUUGGAUGGACUCGCGGCUUAUCAGCUUGUUGGUGGGGUAGUGGCUUACCAAGGCUUUGACGGGUAGCCGGCCUGAGAGGGCGACCGGCCACAUUGGGACUGAGAUACGGCCCAGACUCCUACGGGAGGCAGCAGUGGGGAAUAUUGCACAAUGGGCGGGAGCCUGAUGCAGCAACGCCGCGUGCGGGAUGACGGCCUUCGGGUUGGAAGCCGCUUUCAGCAGGGGCGAAGCUUGUGGUGACGGUACCUGCAGAAGAAGCACCGGCUAACUACGUG